rnacentral:rRNA from 1 species
AGCGAACGCUGGCGGCAGGCUUAACACAUGCAAGUCGAGCGCCUGUAGCAAUACAGGAGCGGCAGACGGGUGAGUAACACGUGGGAACGUGCCUUUUGGUUCGGAAUAACUCAGGGAAACUUGAGCUAAUACCGAAUAAGCCCUUCGGGGGAAAGAUUUAUCGCCGAAAGAUCGGCCCGCGUAAGAUUAGCUAGUUGGUGAGGUAAUGGCUCACCAAGGCUACGAUCUUUAGCUGGUCUGAGAGGAUGAUCAGCCACACUGGGACUGAGACACGGCCCAGACUCCUACGGGAGGCAGCAGUGGGGAAUAUUGGACAAUGGGCGCAAGCCUGAUCCAGCCAUGCCGCGUGAGUGAUGAAGGCCUUAGGGUUGUAAAGCUCUUUUAGCAGGGACGAUAAUGACGGUACCUGCAGAAAAAGCCCCGGCCAACUUCGUG